GGGUACAAGAAGAAGCCUAGUGGCGGGAGGUAUGAGGAGGACGAAUACAAGAAGAAGCCUGGUGGUGGUGGAAGGUAUGAGGAAGAAGAUGGCUACAAGAAGAAGCCAAGCAGCGGUGGCUAUGGAGGAGGAAAGUACGAGGAUGAAGAUGACUACAGGAAGAAGCCAAGCAGUGGUGGCUAUGGUGGGGGAAGGUACGAGGAUGAAGACGAUUACAAGAAGAAGCCCACAAGUGGUGGCUAUGGUGGGGGGAGAUAUGAGCAAGAAGAUGAUUACAAGAAGAAGCCUACAAGUGGCGGCUAUGGUGGCGGGAGGUAUGAGCAGCAGGAUGAAUAUAAGAGGCCUCCUAGCGGUGGUGGCAGUAGCUAUGGGGGAGG
rnacentral:lncRNA from 1 species